rnacentral:sRNA from 1 species
GCUGGGUGUGAUGAUGCACACCUGUAAUCCCAGCUACUUGGGAGGCCAAGGCAGGAUGGUCACAAGUUCGAGGCCAGCCUGGGCAACUUAGUGAGACCCUGUCUCAA